rnacentral:lncRNA from 1 species
UUCUAAUCAUAUAAUUCAUUCAUUUUGUUUCACAUAAACUCUUAUUAAAUCAUCAGCAAGUACUGCUACAAUCCACUAUUCAACCAUAUUUUAUGUAUACAAACCAUGAUUUGGUUAAACUAAAAACUUAACUUAAUGAGCCAUCAAUACAUGUCUAAUCUAUAAAAGUAUUCAAAUGUAACUUGAAAAGUUGUACUAAAGGGACGAAACUCACAAGGCCAUACCGACAC